rnacentral:lncRNA from 1 species
AAUUCAGCAUUAUAAUUCAAUCAGUGAUUACUCCGAGGCCUCAGCAAAAACAUGCAACUUGUGCUUAGAAUUCAUAGUCUGCGGCUUUGAUUACAGAUGUGAGACUUGCAGUGGCAUCCAAAUCCACCAAUGCUGUGCUUUCGUGAUUCCACGAAGCAUGACUCACCGAUGGGACUCUCACACCAUAUCCUUGUUGUAUCCUCCAAUAUAUUUCAAGGGCACAAAAUAUUGCGAG